UGCUUCUCUGGAUGAGUUGCGAACGGGUGAGUAACGCGUAGGUAACCUGCCUGGUAGUGGGGGAUAACUAUUGGAAACGAUAGCUAAUACCGCAUAAUAGCAGUUGUUGCAUGAUAACUGUUUGAAAGGUGCAAUUGCACCGCUACCAGAUGGACCUGCGUUGUAUUAGCUAGUUGGUGGGGUAACGGCUCACCAAGGCGACGAUACAUAGCCGACCUGAGAGGGUGAUCGGCCACACUGGGACUGAGACACGGCCCAGACUCCUACGGGAGGCAGCAGUAGGGAAUCUUCGGCAAUGGACGAAAGUCUGACCGAGCAACGCCGCGUGAGUGAAGAAGGUUUUCGGAUCGUAAAGCUCUGUUGUAAGAGAAGAACGAGUGUGAGAGUGGAAAGUUCACACUGUGACGGUAUCUUACCAGAAAGGGACGGCUAACUACGUGCCAGCAGCCGCGGUAAUACGUAGGUCCCGAGCGUUGUCCGGAUUUAUUGGGCGUAAAGCGAGCGCAGGCGGUUAGAUAAGUCUGAAGUUAAAGGCUGUGGCUUAACCAUAGUACGCUUUGGAAACUGUUUAACUUGAGUGCAAGAGGGGAGAGUGGAAUUCCAUGUGUAGCGGUGAAAUGCGUAGAUAUAUGGAGGACACCGGUGGCGAAAGCGGCUCUC
rnacentral:rRNA from 1 species